ensembl:lncRNA
CACAGCUGGUGGUGGCAGCAGCAUCAGUACCGCACAGACCACAGCGUCCAGUUUCGCUACAAAAUAAAUGGCUAACUAGCUAACUGUAGCUAGUUACUUUGUUUUGAAUCUGUAAAAGGUUUCUCUGGUUUUUGCUGAAGUACCUUUCAUCUGUUGAGAUUUGGUUUCACUGAAAGGUGUAGUGGAUAAAAAAGGAAUGGAUCAACACACACAAGAUGUCUGUUUUCCCAUUGAGGAAGAUACCGCUCCAUUGUCUCCUAAACGACUAAGGACAGAUUGCACAAUAACAAACAAACACAGUUGCAAAACCCAUUUCAAAUUCCCAGAACCAUUGAGUUUCCGGAACAACGAUGGUGUCACAUCACUGCAGAAUAGGCCUAUUCUUCAGGAGGAUGAAACACAUAGAGUUGAAUCUGACCAUGAAUAUCUCAAAUACACAGUGACAGGAUUUCAUUGUGAAGAAAUGGGAAAAGAGGAGAGUACAGCUCUCGGAGAUAAUCAGACAUGCGCAGGUUCAUGUGUAAUCAGUCCUCACAGUACAGAUGAUGACUCUCAAGGUCUAUGUCAAGGGCUAGAUGAGCAACAUGAUCCACUUAGUGAAACAGGCACCUCUUCUUAUAGCUUUCAUUCUAGAAAUGAAGCAGGGUCUGUGUCAGCAAAGUCUCACUCUUCUGAUGACAGAACAACUGAUACAUCCUCAAGUCAUGAUUUCAAUCAGCCUGGGAAAUCACUCAAAUGCAGUCUCACCGGUACUAGUCCCUCAGCAGAUGAAGAAGCAGUGACUGAACAAAAUGGUGAAAGCCGCCUCCCAGGAACCGACCACAGCUCAAGUGUGAGUGACGGUACUGAAGAAUCUGAUUACACCUGUGAAAGCCUGGCUCUGAAUUCAGCCAUUUACAGUAUGGGCUUCAUCAAAGGAUCUACUGAAGGUGAAAAUAAUCACCAGAUUCAGAAUGAGGAUAAACAUGGAUUCAAUCAAAGUAUCUGCUGUGAGAAAGAGGCCAGGCGUUACCCAUUACCCAGUGAUUACAGAGAGGGCUGCGUGUCAUCUGGCUCUCAUGCUGAAACUGAACCUUUUGGGAACUUUACAGGAGUGAAAAAAAAUGAGGGAUAUGUAGCCAGAGAAAAUGCAGAUGUCUGCGAUAGAGAAGCAAAAGCCCAAGUUAACAAGGAGUACUUCAUGCAUAAUGACAGCUCUGCCGCAGCUGAGACAGUAGUUGAAUAUGUAGAUGGCUCCGUUGUCACUUGUUAUACGAUAUUAGACAGACCUGUACUGAGUGAUGGGGCUGAGAUCAAUAUGGGUCUUAAGCAUGAGGAUCUCUGUGAACAAACAUUAGGGCACGCUGUUGGCACUGUGACAGUUGAAACUUUGUGUGAACUGGGUGUUGAUCACAACACAUCACAGAAACUGUCGGUUUCAACACACCUCAGUCAAAAGCCAGCUGAUGUUAAUCGCAACAAGAUAGCAAGUGUAACCGAUCAUUCAGUUAUCUCUGACAUCAACGGAGUGGCUCUAGAAACGAUGUCUCCUCUCCACCCACCACAAUCAGAAUAUACCACGUCUCCUCUCCACCCACCACAACCAGAAUAUACCACGUCUCCUCUCCACCCACCACAACCAGAAUAUACCACGUCUCCUCUCCACCCACCACAACCAGAAUAUACCACGUCUCCUCUCCAUCCACCACAACCAGAAUAUACCACGUCUCCUCUCCACCCACCACAACCAGAAUAUACCACGUCUCCUCUCCACCCACCACAACCAGAAUAUACCACAUCUCCUCUCCAUCCACCACAACCAGAAUAUACCACGCCUCCUCUCCAUCCACCACAACCAGAAUCUACCACGUACCCACCACAACCAGAAUAUACUAUGUCUCCUCUCCACCCACCACAACCAGAAUAUACCACGUCCCCUCUCCACCCACCACAACCAGAAUAUACCACGUCUCCUCUCCACCCACCACAACCAGAAUAUACCACGUCUCCUCUCCACCCACCACAACCAGAAUAUACCACGUCUCCUCUCCA